rnacentral:lncRNA from 1 species
UUCAAUCCGUGAUUUCACAAAUCAUCCAUGUUUAUCACAUUUCUGCUUUUCACGAAAGCAAUAAUCAUAUUCCUUUGAAUGAAACACCUAGGCACCUAACCAACCUCAUUAUGCACUAAGCACGUGAGACAACAUCCGUCAACUUUCCGGGUUUUCACCGUGGGUUAUGACAUUCCCUCCGUAUCGUUGCCAUCUAGGACUUUCAUUUUGUCAA